CUUUUCAUAACCAUGAACCUCCACAACCAAAUUCUGUAUCCAACGUCGACAGCUCAGCGGCAAUUGGUAACUCCGUUCACAAAGAGGACCAUAAAACACCAAAGACGAAAUCACUACAAUCCUGACAAAAACACCACAGUCAAGACGAAAACCACAAGCAAGACGAAACACCACAGUUCGGACGAUCACUACGCCAGCUGCCCAUCAGCAGUGGAGGCUCUUUCUUCCAGUCAUCAGCGACACCUUUUAUACAUGGACAGUCGCAAUAAUUAACAUAAUACUUUGUAGUUAUAUUCAAGAAACAAUAAAAAAAG
rnacentral:lncRNA from 1 species